rnacentral:tRNA from 4 species
GGUCCCAUCUUCUAAUGGUUAGGAAACUGGUUUCUCAUUCCGGAAAUAGGGGUUCGAUUCCCCUUGGGACUA